CCGCGGGAUUAGAGUUUGAUCCUGGCUCAGGACGAACGCUGGCGGCGUGCUUAACACAUGCAAGUCGAACGAUGAAGACUGGUGCUUGCACUGGUUGGAUUAGUGGCGAACGGGUGAGUAAUUCGUGAGUAACCUGCCUUUGACUCUGGGAUAAGCCUGGGAAACUGGGUCUAAUACCGGAUAUGACAAGGAACCGCAUGGUUUUUUGUGGAAAGGGUUUGUACUGGUUUUAGAUGGGCUCACGGCCUAUCAGCUUGUUGGUGGGGUAAUGGCUCACCAAGGCGACGACGGGUAGCCGGCCUGAGAGGGUGACCGGCCACACUGGGACUGGGACACGGCCCAGACUCCUACGGGAGGCAGCAGUGGGGAAUAUUGCACAAUGGGCGCAAGCCUGAUGCAGCGACGCCGCGUGAGGGAUGACGGCCUUCGGGUUGUAAACCUCUUUCAGCAGGGAAGAAGCGAAAGUGACGGUACCUGCAGAAGAAGCGCCGGCUAACUACGUGCCAGCAGCCGCGGUAAUACGUAGGGCGCGAGCGUUGUCCGGAAUUAUUGGGCGUAAAGAGCUUGUAGGCGGUUUGUUGCGUCUGCUGUGAAAGACCGGGGCUUAACCCCGGUAUUGCAGUGGGUACGGGCAGACUAGAGUGCAGUAGGGGAGACUGGAAUUCCUGGUGUAGCGGUGAAAUGCGCAGAUAUCAGGAGGAACACCGAUGGCGAAGGCAGGUCUCUGGGCUGUAACUGACGCUGAGAAGCGAAAGCAUGGGGAGCGAACAGGAUUAGAUACCCUGGUAGUCCAUGCCGUANACGUUGGGCACUAGGUGUGGGGGACAUUCCACGUUUUCCGCGCCGUAGCUAACGCAUUAAGUGCCCCGCCUGGGGAGUACGGC
rnacentral:rRNA from 1 species